rnacentral:rRNA from 1 species
ACGGUAACAGGGGAGCUUGCUCCCGCUGACGAGUGGCGAACGGGUGAGUAAUGCAUCGGAACGUGCCGAAUAGUGGGGGAUAACGCACCGAAAGGUGUGUUAAUACCGCAUACGCCCUGAGGGGGAAAGUGGGGGACCGCAAGGCCUCACGCUAAUCGAGCGGCCGAUGUCGGAUUAGCUAGUUGGUGGGGUAAAGGCUCACCAAGGCGACGAUCCGUAGCGGGUCUGAGAGGAUGAUCCGCCACACUGGGACUGAGACACGGCCCAGACUCCUACGGGAGGCAGCAGUGGGGAAUUUUGGACAAUGGGGGAAACCCUGAUCCAGCCAUGCCGCGUGUCUGAAGAAGGCCUUCGGGUUGUAAAGGACUUUUGUCCGGGAGGAAACCCUGAUCGUUAAUAGCGGUCGGGACUGACAGUACCGGAAGAAUAAGCACCGGCUAACUACGUGCCAGCAGCCGCGGUAAUACGUAGGGUGCAAGCGUUAAUCGGAAUUACUGGGCGUAAAGCGUGCGCAGGCGGUGAGAUAAGUCAGCUGUGAAAGCCCCGGGCUCAACCUGGGAACUGCGGCCGAAACUGUCUCGCUAGAGUACGUCAGAGGGGGGUGGAAUUCCACGUGUAGCAGUGAAAUGCGUAGAGAUGUGGAGGAACACCAAUGGCGAAGGCAGCCCCCUG